rnacentral:rRNA from 1 species
AUUGAACGCUGGCGGCAGGCUUAACACAUGCAAGUCGAGCGAGCGGCGGACGGGUGAGUAAUGUCUGGGAAACUGCCUGCUGGAGGGGGAUAACUACUGGAAACGGUAGCUAAUACCGCAUACCAUCAGAUGUGCCCAUAUGGGAUUAGCUAGUAGGUGGGGUAAAGGCUCACCUAGGCGACGAUCCCUAGCUGGUCUGAGAGGAUGACCAGCAACACUGGUACUGAAACACGGUGCAGACCCCUACGGGAGGCAGCAGUGGGGAAUAUUGCACCAUGGGCGAAAACCUGAUGCAGCCAUGCCGCGUGUGUGAAGAAGGCCUUCGGGAUGUAAAGCACUUUCAGCGAGGAGGCGUUACUCGCAGAAGAAGCACCGGCUAACUCCGUGCCCGCAGCCGAGGUAAUUC